rnacentral:rRNA from 1 species
UACGGAGGGUGCAAGCAUUAAUCGGAUUUACUGGGCGUAAAGGGUGCGUAGGCGGUAAUUUAAGUCAGAUGUGAAAUUCCGGUACUCAAUACCGGAGCUGCAUUUGAAACUGAAUUUCUAGAGGUUGGACGGAGAGAACGGAAUUCCAUGUGUAGCGGUGAAAUGCGUAGAUAUAUGGAAGAACACCUGUGGCGAAAGCGGUUCUCUAGUUUACACCUGACGCUGAGGCACGAGAGCGUGGGGAGCAAACAGG